UGGGUGAUGAGGCGGGGCGGAGCACGCGCCUUUGGAAGCUGCCCGGAAAGCUAAAGCGCGGGUUGGCGGGGCGGUCUCGGGGGGCGGCUCCUUGGGACCGGAGCGCGAGCUUCCGAAGGAGGGAUAAACUCGCGAGCUCUGGUGGCGAAAUGCCUUUUAGUAAUAGUUAAUCUUUUAUGAUUCUCGAGUUUUACUAGGGCCCAUCUCUCACUAUUGGGCCAGGGGUCCUUUAAGGGGGGGAAAAAAAGAGAAGCCAAUUGCGGAAGUCUCUUGCAGCUCCUCCCCUCCAGCCGGCGCGCGCAGCACGGGCGGGCACGUCCUUGCUGCGCCGGAUACGUCAUCACGGCCUGCGCCCGGGGCGGAGCGGGGCGGAGCCUCUGGGUCAAGGACGAGCCUGCGCAGAGCGUGGGAAAGGCAUGCGUUGUGGCGUCUGACGUAUCCGUGGAGACAUCUUAAGUUUCCCUCAGUGGGCACGAAAAAAAGCAAGUCCUUGCCUCCCGUGUCUCCUACCUCUCGGCAUCUCCGGGCUUGUGCAGGGGUGGUCCUGCUGCCUCUGCAGGAUGACGGCACCCGCAGCCCCCACCGUCCUGACUGAGAGAGCGUGUCAGAAAGCUCCGAGGUCCGCAGCUGCCCUUUCAGAGCAAAAGCAUCCUCUGGGUAGCUGAAGCUUGGACUUCUUUCUAAGCAAGGAAUGAGAUGUAAGCCGGGAGACAAGCCUGAGGCCGAAAAGCCACCCGGGAUGGCAGAAUCUUCUGAAGGACUGGAGGCGGCCAGGGCUGAGGUCAAGGCCCCGAUGGAGGCUACAGGCAAGGUGGAUGGAAAAGAGACCAAGAAAAAAAAAUAAGUGGCUUGGUGACCUAACUUUACCCAGAGAAUGGAAAAUAAAAUGCAAGACUCCAAACCCUGCCCUUCUAUUUCAUCUUCAUUUUGGAAAAAUACAGGAAAAGGUGGGCUUUUUUGCCUUCCUACCAUGGACGAGGAUCUUGAAGGAGAAACUUGGCAGACCUUUUCCAUUCCCUGGGGCUUCGGCCAGGCAGUAGAGGAUGAAGGAGGACAUACAUGCCAGUGAGUAACAGUCCUCAAGUACAAAUAGCAGGGGUCCUGUCAUUGCUUCCUGAGAUUAGCUCCUGGUUUUCAGUAGGAUGGAUUUAUUUGGACAUUUGAAAACCAUGUCUCAGAAUUAUACAAAAAUGAUGCCUUUGAUAGAAAAGCGAUGAGAUCCUUCUGAGUUUUGUCUCAGUAACUGUAAUUUUUACAAAAAGAAUAUUUGGAGGUGAGGCAGGAAUAUCCUGCAAAAGAAAAGCAUAACGUCAUACACUACUCUGGCUGUUUAUUUCCUCACGACUACAUGUCCAGAGGCAUGCUUUUGGGAAGAGAGAAACUGAUUUUAGCUGCUCAUCCUUAUAUAUGGUAGUCUAAUCGGCUAGCACUCACAGUAAACUUUUGACUGCACUUGUGUACUUUUUGCAAGAGAAAUUGGGUUGUGCUGUGUUUAUUUUCUUUUGAAAGUGGUAUCUUUUCAAUGACAAAUGUAUCUAUCAAGAUGAAAACUUUUCAUUGUUAAGCAGAAAAUGCUAUGUUGGCUAUACAAAUUAGUUUGUAUUUAAUUGCUUAUCUUCAGUGGUCUUGAUAAAUAAGUGUUUCUCCCUUGGAAACCUAUUUUACAGAAAGUGCAGAUCCUUGAUGAGUGGCUGAUGGUUUAUAUAAAUAUGUAAUUCUUUCUUGAUUUUGUCUAAGUUUCAAGUAUUUUGAAAUUCUUGAAAUUUGUCAGUGCUGCAUGCAUUUUGGAAUGCAAAUUGGAAUGUUUCCAGUCAUUGUGCUAUUCAAUGCUUUCUCAUUAAUCACUGGUACUUGUGAGUUUGUUUAAAUGAUAUUCUUUCGGCAGAUUCUAUGAUUAUCGAGUGUUGCAGCAUUGCAAUAAGAACAUUAUGUGAAGGGGCACCUAUAAAGGAACUGCCACAGGUUAAGAGAAGCUCUCCAAAUGGGUAGAAUUCAUUACCCUGGACUUUUAUCACUUGGGACUUUGAGCCAAAUGUGUUUAGAGUUGCCAUCAUUUUCCAUAAUAGUAAUCACUUGGUGGCACUAUGUGUUUUAAAACAGUUUUGACAGUUUGCAUGGGUGCGAAUGAAACCUCUUUCCUUUUGUUGUAAGGAAAAUUUAGAAAGUGACGUUGUCAUUCUUUGGGACUAGAACAUACGAAACAGCCUGAGGUUUUGGAGCGAGCAAUAGUGAUCUCCCAAAAACUACUGUUUGCUUAUGAUGUAAUUUCAUUGGACAGCUUUUCUUUGUAGUGCACACAUUUUCUUCCCGAUUUCAUACCUGAAAGAUGAAAUGAUUGGAUAUACUUAGGCUAAAGAGAACAGCCGCUUAAGACAGGAUCCUGAGACUUGUGGCUCUUGCUUGUCUGAUUAGUAACAUGAAACGAAAUAGAUUCGGCUCCGAGCUCACUGAAGCAUGUUGUUUGUAGGUUUGGGAGAAAAUAGAUAAUGAAAGGGAUAAGGAAUAUUUUAAAUCAGAACACUAAAGACAAACCACUGAAUUCCAGUUGGAUAGUUUGUUGGCCAUACUUUUAACUCCAUGUACCCAGUGAAAAGUGUAGUGUGUCUUGUUUUAUUAGAAUUAGUGCUAGAUGUGUCUCUAAAGACUGAAGUUCCGUGUUAUCCCUGGAUGUGCUUAGUCAUUAGAUGAUUCAAGUUAAUAUAUUAUUAAUUUUAAUUUUAUACAUAAAAUACUAUUUUAUUUUUAUGACUCAACACAAAAAGCAACCAUUAUUAUAACUUCAGCUCAUUUCUGCAGUGGACGAUGCUCUCAGAUAUGGAACCAUGUAAAUGUGGUUCAAGAUUCAGUAGGUGGGGACGGUCUUCAUAGAGCAACAAGUGAGGCUGGCCCAAUUCCCUCAAUCGAGUCUCAUUUGAGCUGCUGACUUUUCACAGGAAUACGAUCUAAAAUCCUUAGUCUGUCGUCCAGUCAGGCAGCGCAGGCUCCCUCGUCUGGGAGGUCCCUGCAGCCCUUCUCCACGUUGCUCAUUGCUGAUCCGAAGAAGCUGUCAUAAGACUGAAGUGAGGACGAGAAUGAUUCACUUUCCUGAAGUUUGUAACCUUUAAAAUUACAGUGACUUGAGAUUGUUGUUGUUGUUGAUUAAAGAGCAACUGGUUGCCCAGUAGAGCAGCCACACAGAAUGGUCAGGUUUCCGGAACGGGUCUGACCUGGCUGUGUGCCCUGGUGCCUUCAUUUAUUGCCUAUAUGGCUCUGGGCAAGUUUGUCAGUUUCAUUAAGCCUCAGUCCUCAUGUCUGUAAGAUGAGGAUAAUGCCUACCUCAUGGGGAUGGAGGGCUAAGUUAGUUAUUGUAGGAACGUCUCCUAGCACAGUGCCUGCCUCAGCCAGUUAUCUGAUUACCGACGGUCAUUCUUAGUAUCCGUAUUAGUAGCAGUGAUAGCGGAGCCUUUCAAAAACAAUCUGGAUCACAGGCCUUCAGGUUCAGUUUAAGUUUGAGAGAAAGUUAUAGGUUAUUUGGCUAUAUCUUCUGGCAGGAAGAUCCUAAUCUUCUAGUAGGAAAAAGGACUCAUUUGGAACCUCACCUACUAGAAUGGCAAGCAGGGAUAACACUGAGAAUGCCAAGUGCUAGCCAGGGUAUGGAAUGACCGGAACUCUCAUGGAUUGCCCGCACGAUGUACCCGCAAAAUGGUAGAGCCACUUUUGGAGAGCACUUGGUAACUUCUCCUAAAGCUAAAUGUACAUUUGCCAUAAAACCCCUACAGUCCCACUCGUGGAUAUUUCCCCUAGAGAAAUGAAAACUCACGUUCACAGAAAAAACCUGUCACAAAAGUUUAGAGCAGCUGUAUUCAGAAUUGUCCCAAACUGGAAACACCCCAGAUGUCCUUCAACGGAUGCAUGGAUAAACGAACCGUGUUACAUCCUCACAAUGAAAUACCACUCGGCAAAAAAACAAGAACAAACUAUUGAUACACACAACAGUUUUGGAUAAAUGUCAGAGGCAUUAUGUUGAGUGCAGGAAGCCAGUUUCAAAAGGUUAUAUACUGUACGUUUCCAUUUAUAUGACAUUCUCAAAAAGACAAAGCUAUAGUGACAGAGAACAGAUCGAUGGGUGCCAGGGGUUAGGGGUUGGAGAAGUGUGUGAAAGUACCUUCUGUAAUGGAACUAUUUUGUAUCCUAAUUUUGGUCAUGGUUAUAAGAACCUAUACAUGUGAUAACAUUUAUAUGGAACAGUAUGUCGAAAAGUCAAAUUUACUAUGUGAUAAUUUAAAACAUGAAAAAUGAGAAUACAAGCUUUUGGCCCUUGAGGAGUUCAUAGGUGCACUGAGGGACAAACACAAAUACUUAUAAUGCAGUGGGGUGAAUGCAGUGAUCGCAGCACGCUGAGAGAAGAGCUAACACCUGGUGUGGCAUGGCGUACUGGUCUGAUGUGACUGGGUUACAAGCGUACCCAGAUAUUGCUGCGCAAGAAUUGUGGGGUCCCGAGGCCCGGGCCAGUUGUUUAUGGCCAUGUGCAGCCUUGUCCCUGUACCCUCAACUGUCUUCUAUGUGUACCAAGACCUGAAAAAGUCUGGGGGGGUCCUGGAUUAGGGUAUGAUGAGACCCCUUUGCCUAGUCGCCUGGGAGGAGGAAGGUACCAAGAAACCUCCAUAGGGGAGGUGGUGCCCGCAGUGGGAAUAAAGGGUAAAAAAGAGAGAGCUAGGCAGAGCCAGCAAGCCAGUCGUUGCCUGACAAAGGCACAGAGGAGAGAAAGUGGGUACAAGUUGGGGGCUCUAGGGUAUCCAAGAUGACAAGAGUACGAAGUGUGAGGUGUGGCUGGAGAACCGAGACCGGGGACAGAUUUCUGGAUAGCCUUGUAUAAUAAAAGGACAUUUGGUUUUAUGAUAGUGGAUUCUGGGCGUAUUUAGAGGCACAUGGGGGAUGAGGCGGCAGAGACAGCAAUUUGAUGAAAGCGAGAAGAGGCUGCAGGGGUGGGAUAAUGGGAAGAAGUACAGGGUUUGAUCUUAACUGUCAAGUGCUCGAGAACACACUUGUAGCAUGUGUAGCAUUAAUGGCAGACUCUCCCUCCUGGGAAGAUCUUUUCACUCAUUUGUUCACCACCAAUUCAUUCAACAAAUCAUCCACCUGCCUGAUAGGCACUAUUUUAGGUCCCGGGGAUCCAACCGUGAACAAAAUCAAGUCCCAGCUCUUGUGGAGCUGAUAUUUUCAGGGCUAAAUGAGCUAAGCUUUGGACAGUUUUGAAGUGUAAAGGGGCUCUGAGGUAAUAAUGCCUAGUAGACAGGUGCUAUAAAGACCAGUCUGAGCUGAAAAUUCAAAUUGGUGGUCACUGGUACAAAGAUAGAAAUCGGAGCCUUAGAAGUUGAUUGAAUAAUCCAUCUUUUGAUACUUCAAUAAAGCUGGAAGAAAACUUUUUUUCACCCAAAUUCUCAAUGAUUUGCCAUUAAGACUUGUUCUUCUGUAAGAGGAGGGAUCCAUCUAGCUUAUGCUGUAAUCUCAAGGGUGCUCAUCCACCCAGAUUCCUUUUUUAUGACAUCCUGGCAAAGGGUUCUCUAACCUUUCUAGAAGAGACUGUGUUACAAUGAACAGAUGUGUCUGACGUGUGGAACAUUAUACUAAGCUCUAGGAUGGGGAGGAGAUGGAAAAGAAAGAGUAGACCUGGUCCCUCUUCUGAAAACACUGAAAGUCUACAGGGAGAGCUAGCUCCUUAACCUUCUGUAAGUACUUAUGGUGCUUGAGAAUGGCCAUAAGCAAACAAAUAGAAAUUCUGGGUGGCUUAGGGUGCUGAAUCUUACAGUACAUAUAUACACGGGCAGAGUUGUAAAGCAGUCAUCAGUGACUUUCAAAAGAAGUAUGUUCUUUUUUUUAAAUUUUUUUUUAAUGUUUAUUUAGUUUUGAGAGAGAGAGAGAGUGAGAGAGUACGGGGGGUGGGGUGGGGCAGAGAGAGAGAGAGGAAGACACAGAAUCUGAAGCAGGCUCCAGGCUGUGAGCUGUCAGCAUUGUGCCUGACAUGGGGCUCAAACUCAUGGACUGUGAGAUCAUGGCCUGAGCCGAAGUUGGAUGUUUAACCGACUGAGCCACCCAGGCGCCCCAAAAGGAGUAUGUUCUGAAGCCAGUUAUCGAUGAACUGGCAAUAAUCGGAAUGACAUAGGCCAAAUUCUUGGGUUUGACUUUGGACAGCAUAAAUGGGCACGUGGUAUUUUGAAGAGAUUCUUUUAAUGAAAUAGUUUUAACCUGGCUGUGUUGUUAAAGCUACUGUGACUCAGGUACGUAUUCAUGCUACCAUGAAUACGUUGAUGUGGCCCCCCCAAACCAAAACAUUAAAAUUCCGACUGUUCUGACAACCAGGAAAUAAACAAGUGGAUGUCCUUUCUCCAUCGUAAGGCCUCAUCUCCCUGUGGUGGGUCUGGGAUAAGGUGUGAGUCAAAAGUGGGGAGGCAAAAGGGUAGGUUCAGGUACCAUCUGGCAGGCAAACUACCCAUGACCGGGAAUCUCGUGCUAACCAUUGUCCACAGCUCAUAAAGGACUUUUGGUCAUUCUGAGCUGAGUGCCCACUCAUUUUUGGAGCUGUCAUGACAGCUUGGAUGGUCUGCAUCUCAUGUCAAUCAAUUUCACUUUUAAAAUUACAGUGGCUCUACUUGUUUACAUAUAACAAAGAAUUACACGUACUCAACUAAAAAUGUGACUUAUUUCCUUUUCCAUUUGAUAAUUCAGGGAUACACACCUCUGCUAUUUAAAGACUUCUUGAGUAUACUCAGUUUUAUUGACUGGUAUUAUGUUGGACACUAAUAGUAAAGAGGAGGAAGAAUGUGUUUGUCUUUAUUCAUUCUCAGCUCCAUAUUGCACAGAAAAUCUUCAAAUAAAUUUCUAACAGAUCUAAUAUAUAUUGUAUUACAAUACAUACAUUCUUUGUAUAUAAAAUUCAUUUACUAAUGAAUUACUAAUAUUAUAAAAAUUUCCUUUGAAUUGAUGUCUUUUUUUUAAGUUUAUUUAUUUAUUUUGAGAAAGACCCACUGGGGAGGGGCAGAGAGAGAGAAUCCCAAGCAGGUUCUGUGCUGUCAGUGCAGAGCCCAAUGCAGGGCUUGAACUCACAAACUGUGAGAUCAUGACCUGAGCUGAAAUCAAGAGUCAGAUGUUUAACUGACUGAGCCACUCAGGCGCCCCCUGA